UUUAAGGUCUAAUCUGCCCUAUGAGUGAUUAAAUGGCUGCGGUACUUUGACCGUGCAAAGGUAGCAUAAUAAUUAGUUUUUUAAUUGAAAGCUGGAAUGAAUGAUUGAACGAGAAAAUUUCUGUCUCAGAUUGAUUUAAUUAGAAUUUUAUUUUUAAGUAAAAAAGCUUAAAUUUUUUUAAAAGACGAGAAGACCCUAUAGAGUUUUAUAAAAAUAAAAAUUUUUAUUUUAUAGAAUUAUUAUAUUAAUAUUUUUAUUUUUAUUUUGUUGGGGUGAUGGAAAAAUUAAAUAAACUUUUUUUUUAUUUUUACAUUGAUUUAUGAGUAUAUGAUCCAUUUUUUAUGAUUAUAAGAUUAAAUUACCUUAGGGAUAACAGCGUAAUUUUUUUUUAGAGUUCCUAUCGAAAAAAAAGAUUGCGACCUCGAUGUUGGAUUAAAAUAAACGUUUGGUGAAGGGGCUAAAUGGUUAGGUCUGUUCGACCUUUAAAAUUUUACA
rnacentral:rRNA from 1 species